ensembl:lncRNA
AAAACAACAACAAAAAAUGUCACUGUCCCAAUACUUUUGGAGUUCACUGUAUUUACGCAUUUGAGAUAAAGCACACAUUUCUUUGGGCGAUGAACCUCUAGAAGGUACUACUUGUCUUACAAGAAUCUCUCAGUGGAUUCUGCAGAGGCUUGAGAGGGUGUCAGUUGUGAGGCUUGGAGGUUCUCAAUUUUGAGGCUUGGAGGGUGUCAGUUGUGAGGCGUGGAGUGUGUCAAUUGAGAGGCUUGGAGGGUGUCAGUUGUGAGGCGUGGAGUGUGCCAGUUGUGAGGCGUGGAGUGUGCCAGUUGUGAGGCGUGGAGUGUGUCAGUUGAGAGGCUUGGAGGGUGUCAGUUGAGAGGCUUGGAGGGUGUCAGUUGUGAGGCGGGGAGUGUGUCAGUUGUGAGGCGUGGAGUGUGUCAGUUGUGAGGCGUGGAGUGUGCCAGUUGUGAGGCGUGGAGUGUGUCAGUUGAGAGGCUUGGACGCUGUCAGUUGAGAGGCUUGGAGGGUGUCAGUUGAGAGGCGUGGAGUGUGUCAGUUGUGAGGCGUGGAGUGUGUCAGUUGAGAGGCUUGGACGCUGUCAGUUGAGAGGCUUGGAGGGUGUCAGUUGAGAGGCGUGGAGUGUGUCAGUUGUGAGGCGUGGAGUGUGCCAGUUGUGAGGCGGGGAGUGUGUCAGUUGUGAGGCGGGGAGUGUGCAAGUUGUGAGGCGUGGAGUGUGUAGGUUGUGAGGCGGGGAGUGUGCCAGUUGUGAGGCGGGGAGUGUGCCAGUUGAACUUUUUGAAACACAGUGUGUGAACUGCCAAAGAUACAGUGUUUGGAAUGCUGAAUAUAGAAUAGUCAACUCACCACUAUAAGUUAACACACAGAGGAACUAGUUAUGAAAUGACAAUAUUGGUUUACUAAUAAUAUCUUGGUCUUAUAUUUUAAGGAUUUUAAGAAUGCUGAAGCAUAUCACUCUUUGUCAUGUCUAAGGAUACGUUGGAAGUACAGUAUAUUAAGGCAUUUUUUAAGUUUAAUGAUUCAUUCCGUUAAAUAGUUAUGUUUGUAUGCCUGUGGGUUGUUUUUUAAACUGCUGUGAUUGAUUCAGCUGUGCUUGAGCUUGUAAAAGUCCUUUUAAUAAAAAGAGAAUGGUUUAUGAUGAAUUGUUUCUUUAGAAAUGUUUUUUUAGCAAUGUCUGUAAUUAAGUAAUGUACCAUGAUAAACAUUUUAUUUAAAUCUGCUUUUGUUUUUACAGCCACCUGAAUCUUCAAAAUAAUUCCUCCAACUAGCACAGAAUUCCUAUGAAAUAAGAUUGUAUUUGUCACAUACAAUACAACAGGUGUAGACUAUACCAUGAAAUGCUUAUUUACGAUCCC